rnacentral:lncRNA from 1 species
GCAAGGGACUCCGCUUAACUCUCGGGCCUCAGUUUCCUCCUCUUGACAAUGGAGGGGAUGCAACUUCUUGACCCCCGAGGUGCGUCGGUCCCCGAUCUAGGCCACUACAGACGCGUGACCCCGGCAGCCGCCACUAGACCGUUAGGAGAGACGGGGGAACCAAAGCAGCGAUCGCGAGACCCGAGAGAUGAGAGGGGCCGUUAAGGAGACCUGGGCUGCAGGGAGAGACCGAGGAGCCGGCCCAGUUCCCUUGUGUUCCACGGGAAGGCUGCGCCCAGCCCAGAGAGUAGCGUCCUCGGGUCUCCGGGGAGCAGACGCUGCCCCGUCACUUCGAGUCAACAGCAUGGACGCCAGCUCAUGGGUCACGGAAAAGCAGCUGCGAGGAGCCUCAUGUUACAAAGGAAAAGUGUCUCGGCCUUAGUUCUGCCAGGGGCCGAAAAAGAAAGAAAAGGAAAGAAGAAAGAAAAAACAGAUCAGAGAAAGAACAGACACCCCCCGUCCCACUCUGACAUUCUUCAAGGGUCUCCCGAGAGCCUGUGUCCAGGAGCCCAGUUCCCUGCCCCCAUCUUGUAUUUCAAAGCCUGGUUUUUCACUACAGGACAACUUCUGAAACAUAAACCCUAAAUGUCCUAUUAUUCUUUAUUUGAAUAAUCUUGGCCAAAUUCUGUUAACGUAACAUGAAGUGGAAAUGACAGCUAAGGUUCCUUCAGCCUCAAAUAAUAAGAAUCCAUUUUUUUUUUUUGUCCGAGUGAAGGUUCUGUAAAUUGAAUCCUAACUUGACCUUGUUUUACCAGGCAAGUUAGAUUUGUCCUCGAUCGACUUAUAUCUGGUGAAUUUUUUAAUGAUCGGGUCAAUGGUCUGUAUGUUAAUUCCAGCUUCCCUUUGCUUCACAUUAUAAUUUUGGAAGCUUUUGCUUUUUUUUUUUAAUGCUCCAUCUGUGGAGUGCAUGACUUGAAUCCGACUUUCCUCUUACCUUGUCGCUGGAUUGCGAAAACUAAUACUAGCUGGUAUUUGUGUUGUAUUACGAACAUUAUCUCAUUUUGUCUUUGCCACAACCUUGGGAUCCAAUUACAAGAAAAACAAGAAAAUUGAGGUUAAGUGC